rnacentral:tRNA from 1 species
GACUGCUUGGCGCAAUGGUAGCGCGCGGUCCUCCUAUUAUCUCACCGGUUAUGGGAGUGAAAGACUGAGGUUGCGGGUUCGAGUCCCGUGGUGGUCG